CCUACGGGAGGCAGCAGUGAGGAAUAUUGGUCAAUGGGCGAGAGCCUGAACCAGCCAAGUAGCGUGAAGGAUGAAGGCUCUAUGGGUCGUAAACUUCUUUUAUAUGGGAAUAAAGUUUUCCACGUGUGGAAUUUUGUAUGUACCAUAUGAAUAAGGAUCGGCUAACUCCGUGCCAGCAGCCGCGGUAAUACGGAGGAUCCGAGCGUUAUCCGGAUUUAUUGGGUUUAAAGGGAGCGUAGGUGGAUUGUUAAGUCAGUUGUGAAAGUUUGCGGCUCAACCGUAAAAUUGCAGUUGAAACUGGCAGUCUUGAGUACAGUAGAGGUGGGCGGAAUUCGUGGUGUAGCGGUGAAAUGCUUAGAUAUCACGAAGAACUCCGAUUGCGAAGGCAGCUCACUAGACUGUUACUGACACUGAUGCUCGAAAGUGUGGGUAUCAAACA
rnacentral:rRNA from 1 species